UUCCUUAUACUUUUUAACUCCCCCGCCCUUUUCUGUAGGGCUGCAGCGAUUGCUAAAACUCUCUUGGCCUCUGGCGCCAGAAACCCCAUGAGGAGCCAGCCCUCUAUCAGAAGCCAGGCAAGGCAAGCCAGCUUAGGGUGUGCGCUCAGGGGCCAGACGCUGGGGCUUGCAUUUGAGGAGCAAGUGUGGGGUGAGGAAGAGGCUGGAGGACGUCUGUUGGAACAAAAAAGUAAUCACCAGUCUCAGACGAUGGGGAGGGGGGCAGGCGGGGUGAGGAACCUCGGACCUGGGAAUGAAGAAGGAAUUGGGAAGGGCCUAUGAGUUAGCAAGGGUUACCAACCAAGUGGGAACAGAGCCACCUGUGUCGAGGUGGCGUCCAGCAGGACACCAGCGGACACACCAGGCUCAGGGGCCACCUGGGCUCGCUGGGCUCCCAUGAAUGUGUGUCUAAAAUUUGGGGGAACAGGUCACAGAGCAACGUGCUGUCUCAGUCUUCCUCCCUGGCUACAGUAGCUCCCCCUUUUUAGUAGGAUCCACAGCACUGGACCAGAGGAGAACCAGGUGAAAGAGACCCUGGAGUGGUCCCAAGGAGAAUGAUCCCAGACUGGCACAGCUCCUUGAUCCUCACGGCCUACAUCCUCAUCUUCCUCACUGGGCUCCCUGCCAACCUGCUGGCCCUUAGGGCCUUCGUGAAUCGGGUCCGCCAGCCCCAGCCUGCUCCCGUGCACAUCCUCCUGCUGAAUCUGACCCUGGCGGACUUGCUCCUUUUGCUGCUACUACCCUUCCGGAUCGUAGAAGCAGCGUCUAACUUUCGCUGGUACCUGCCGAAGAUCGUGUGCGCGCUCACGGGCUUCGGCUUCUACAGCAGCAUCUACUGCAGCACGUGGCUGCUGGCGGGCAUCAGCAUGGAACGCUACCUGGGAGUGGCCUUCCCCGUGCAGUACAAGCUAUCCCGCCGGCCCCUGUACGGAGUGAUCGCCGCUCUGGUGGCCUGGAUCAUGUCCUUCGGCCACUGCACCAUCGUCAUCAUCGUUCAGUACCUGAACUCAACAGAGCCUGUGGGCACUGAGAACCAAAUAACCUGCUAUGAGAACUUCACCCAAGAGCAGCUGGAUGUGGUGCUGCCUGUGAGGCUGGAGCUGUGCCUGGUCCUCUUCUUCGUCCCCAUGGCAGUCACCAUCUUCUGCUACUGGCGCUUCGUGUGGAUCAUGCUCACGCAGCCCCAUGUAGGGGCUCAGAGGAGACGCAGAGCGGUCGGCCUGGCUGUGGUGACGCUUCUUAAUUUUCUGCUGUGCUUCGGACCUUACAACGUGUCCCACUUGGUGGGGUUCUUCCUGUGGCAGAGCCCUCCGUGGCGAGUGGAGGCUGUGGUAUUCAGCUCCCUCAACGCCAGCCUGGACCCGCUGCUCUUCUAUUUUUCUUCCUCCGUGGUGCGCAGGGCUUUCGGGAAAAGUUUGCUAGUGUUCCGCAAACCCGGCUCCUCGGUGCUGGGCAGAGGAGCCAAAGAGACAGUGGAGGGGACCAGGAUGGACAGGGGUGGGAGUCAAACAGAGGGGGUGCCGAGCUCCGAUUUCAUCACUGAGUAGAGAGUCCCCCGAACCUUCCCCAGUCUCUGGUCACCCAGAAGUUGGGCUGGCUAGCAGAGUGCCUGGAACUUGGUGAAAGAUAAAAAAUAAAAAAGAAAGACAUUCCCCAACCACGGUCCACUACUCUCUCAGCUUGGCAUAACUGCUUGUCUGGAUUUUCCUGCUACAGGAUACAAGAAGAAAUGGCUACAGCCCUAAAAUAAGUGGGGCCAGGGCCUCAGAAGCGGGGUGUCUAAUAGGAGGGCAUUUUGAAAAGUAAUCUUCCUUCAAGCUUGGAAACGCCACUCAGAGACAGUGGUCUGGCUGCUGAUGCUGCAAAGAAGCCAUUGAAAAACGAUCGGGGGAAACCUGUGGGAAGAAAAGGAAAGCCCCGCCACGGGAGGGACUGGCGGGGAGGACAGGGGCCGCAUCUCUGGUGAGCUUCGCCUCUCUACAUCCCUUUGAGCUGUCCCUUUGUAAGUGUGCUCUGUUGAUUUUCGCGUUUUGGCCUUGCUCCACUGUUACACUGGGGUCUGGGUUGCACGUCUGUCCCCAGUGUCCUCCCACCCAGGCUAGGGUGUGUCUUGGUACUGACGUAGACACUGACCUGCACAGGAGGACAGAAAACCCAGUCUGGUUUGGCAGGUUGAAAAUAAAGAUGAUGGCCACCGCCUAACGCAUAGCUUUCAGCGCUGGUCUCUAUAACCCAGGGAAAGGGGGAUGGCGAACCUAGUACCACAGCAGAGGGAGAAGGGAUGCAGCGCCCCCCCCAACACUUUCAAAUGAUGGCAUUCUGAGGGCAAAGGGAGACAGGAGGCUGAUGGGAUCCUGUUUAGCCCAAUGGCUGGGGAGGUUGGACUUCCUCCUGGAUGUGGGUGGGUCCCACCUGGGGCUGCUGAUCCCUCAGCGAAUUGAGAAUGCAUUCUGUCCUCCUCAGAACCCCGUUGUUCUCUUGUAUCAAGCCCCUCCCCCCUGCCCUCGGACUCCAGAUCACCGCAGGCCUUUGCCUGCCCUGUGCCCUCGGUCCCUUCCUGAUCCUUCCUGCCUAACUCCUUUCUCCACCAGGACCCCAGUGCGAUUAGCAUUCCACAUGCCCAGAGUUGAAGAGGCUGAGACUGGAGGAUUGUGAGUUUGGGGCUAGUCUGGACUACAGAGUUAGACCCUGUCUUUCAAAAGCAAGAAACAAACUUUAAAACACUAGAAAAAAAAAUGGUUUUGAGACAAGGUCUCCUACAGGUGGCUGGGGCUGGCUUUGUACACCUCAUGUACUGAGAAGGACCUGAACUCCUUGUCCUCCUGUCGCCCCCCCCCCCCGCCUUCCCCCAGAGUGUAGAAUACAGGUACGUACCACCUUGACUCUCCUAGAAAUAAGAUAUUAAACCCAACAGCCAAUGAAAUUGGUUCAGUGGGUAAAAGUGCUUGCUGCACAAUCUCAAGGACCUGAUUGUGAUUCUCGGAACCCACAAAAAGUAGGAUGUGGUAGCGUGUAGCCGUAUUCCCUGCAAUGGAGGUGGAGAUAGGAGCCGGCUAGCCUGGGCUACAAAGCAUGGCAGAAACAAGAGAGCUCUACCUGACCUGAACAAGGUGGAAGGAGACUCCAAAGUUGUUCCCCAACCUCCAUGUUCAUGCUUCGUGGCACAAGCUGACACACACACACACACACAUGCAUACAUAUACAUGCACACAUGCACACCACAAUAAAUAAAUUAAAAUAAUUAUUUCUAUUUGAGACAGGAUCUCGCUGUGUAGCCUUGGCUAGUCAUGAGCUCGCUAUGUAGACCAGGCUGGCCUUGAGUUUACAGAAAUACACUUGAGGGCUGCAAUUAAAUCAUGACUGGUUAAAAAUGAAAAUAAUUUAAAAGCUAACUGUAGGGGGAUGUGGCAGGAGAGAAAACUUGGGUAGAGUUCCGGCUUACCAUGACACUGUGAUCCAGUGCAGCUUGCAAUUGAGCUCAUCUGGGAGCUGUCAGAUUGCCCAGUGGGUAAUGGCACUUGUUACCACAGCUGAUGACCUGAGCUGGAUCCCCAGAACCCACAGGGUGGAUGGGAAGAAUCCACUCCUGCAGGUUGUUUCCUAACCUCUG